rnacentral:rRNA from 1 species
GUAGGUGGCAAGCGUUGUCCGGAAUUAUUGGGCGUAAAGCGCGCGCAGGCGGUUCUUUAAGUCUGAUGUGAAAGCCCACGGCUCAACCGUGGAGGGUCAUUGGAAACUGGAGAACUUGAGUACAGAAGAGGAAAGCGGAAUUCCACGUGUAGCGGUGAAAUGCGUAGAGAUGUGGAGGAACACCAGUGGCGAAGGCGGCUUUCUGGUCUGUAACUGACGCUGAGGCGCGAAAGCGUGGGGAGCAAACAGGAUCAGAUACCCUGGUAGUCCACGCCGUAAACGAUGAGUGCUAAGUGUUAGGGGGUUUCCGCCCCUUAGUGCUGCAGCUAACGCAUUAAGCACUCCGCCUGGGAGUACGGCCGCAAGGCUG